CUCAAUUAUAUUACUUGAACACUCAUUGUUUAUUGGAAUACUGAAUAGUCUUUUGUACUUCCAAUUCAUGACACGUUUUGUUCUUACUUUCCCAAUCAAUUUAUUUCCAACUUCUUCUACCUCAUUUCCUAAUUUUCUCUUCCCUUCAUUUGUUCUUCAUCUACCUCAUUUCCUAUUUUUCUCUUCCUUUCAUUUGCUCUUCAUUCUCGGAUCCGCAAUCGUUCAUAUUCUCUCCCAAUUUUCAAAAUCCAAAAUCUCCGAUUUCGAUUUCCAACUUCUGCAUAUCCACAGAUGUAUUGCAAUCGAUUCAGUUUUUAAAUCAAAAGACAAUUCAUUUGAGAUAUGUUUUCUGCAAAUACUUAUAUUUGCAUAAUGCUGUUACAAUUCGUUUCAGUUCCUACAACUGUCACAUAAUCCUAUUGGGUUUUCAAUUGAAAAGGUGAGGCUGUGUUGCAUUAACAAUAUUUCAAUUUCAAAGUUAAAAAGAGUUUUAGGUCUCUGAGUUUCUUGAUGUUAAUCAUUUUUUACGGUCCUGGCUGAAACCGUCGUUGUCGUCGCCAUCGAAGUUGAUCUCAAUCAAAUCAAAGUCAAGCUCUUCAACAGAUAAAGCUUCGACGAUGUUCAGCUUAAUGAUGUGCCUCUUGGAGAUUACAUCGGAGUUCAAUAGUCCAAGAAUGCUACAUAUGUGCCUCACACUGCAUGUAGGUACUAAGUGAGGCAUGCCAUGGAAAUCUUUCACUUGCUAACUGAAAAUGAGGAUUUAUUGAUUUCUUAUUGGUUUGAUUUCCUGGAUGAUGGCAUUUUUGUAAUAGCUUUUGGAGUGGUUUUAUUUGAACUCAUUACUGGAAGAAAACCAAUUUAAACCAAAAGAUUUCCAUGAGAAGAGAAUUUAGUAUUACGGCCAUAUUAUCUGAAGAGUGGCAACACAACUACAAGGCAGACUGGAGGUUCCCUUGCUUCCUCAACAAAAUCACUGGCGUCCUAGAUCAUGGACUUGAUGUUUGGAUUCUAUAUCAAACUUUAUCAUCCUUCCUAUUUUAUUAUAAGCAAUAUUUUUACUCGGUUAUUCAUACUCUCUAAAGAGGUUCGGCGUAUUAUGUUUUUUUGGAUUUGAGUUGGAAUAUUUACUCAUUGGCAUCUUAGCAUUGUGAUCUUAUGAUCGGUUACUUAGUUUUGUGUUUGUUGGAUUUGAGUUGGAGUAUUUACUCAUUUAAUUGAAUUCUAUGGCAUCUUAGCAUUGUGAUCUUAUGAAUGGCUACUUGGUUGGCAAAUGUUUUGAGAAAGGUUCAUAAUUUAUGGA